GAGCUUGUUUGGAAUAACGAGAACUGCUAAUUUUUCGGAACCGUGGUUCAAUUCCACGGCUAGCUCG
rnacentral:tRNA from 1 species